rnacentral:lncRNA from 1 species
AAUGAUGUUGUUGUCAUUUCCAUGACAAUAGCAAAAUAUGAUAUAAAAAGAAUAUUAGUUGAUAAUGAAAGCUCUGCUGAUGUGUUGUUCUAUGAUGCAUUUCAGAAAAUGAAUAUAUUAGAUCGGUUAAUGUAGGUCGAUACUCUGCUGGUCAGAUUCUUUGGAGAUCCUAUAGCUGUAGAAUGAGAAAUCACUCUAUCUAUAACUACA